CCUACGGGGGGCAGCAGUGGGGAAUAUUGGACAAUGGGGGCAACCCUGAUCCAACCAUGCCGCGUGUGUGAAGAAGGCCCUCGGGUUGUAAAGCACUUUCAGUGAGGAAGAACGCCUGGUGGUUAAUACCCAUCAGGAAAGACAUCACUCACAGAAGAAGCACCGGCUAACUCCGUGCCAGCAGCCGCGGUAAUACGGAGGGUGCGAGCGUUAAUCGGAAUUACUGGGCGUAAAGCGCGCGUAGGUGGCUUGAUAAGCCGGUUGUGAAAGCCCCGGGCUCGACCUGGGAACGGCAUCCGGAACUGUCAAGCUAGAGUGUAGGAGAGGAAGGUAGAAUUCCCGGUGUAGCGGUGAAAUGCGUAGAGAUCGGGAGGAACACCAGUGGCGAAGGCGGCCUUCUGGACUGACACUGACGCUGAGGUGCGAAAGCGUGGGUAGCAAACAGGAUUAGAUACCCGUGUAGUC
rnacentral:rRNA from 1 species